UACAGAGGAGCCAAGCGUUGUCCGGAUUGACUGGGCGUAAAGCGCACGCAGGCGGAUGCGCGCGUGGGGUGUGAAAUCUGGCCGCUUAACGGCCAGGCGCCAUCCCAUACGGCGCGUCUGGAGUGAUGCAGAGGUCGGUGGAAUUGCCGGUGUAGUGGUGAAAUGCGUAGAUAUCGGGAGGAACACCAGUGGCGAAGGCGACUAUCUGGGCUGCAACUGACGCUGAGGCGCGAAGGCUAGGGUAGCAAACAGG
rnacentral:rRNA from 1 species